CGGGUUCUGCCCGGUGCGUGCGGCACUGUGAAUCCCUGGGGCGAUAAUCUUCCGAAUGGGAGCUGUCCCUGAUCGGACCCUGGUCCGGUUAUUACGGCACCCACCUGGUGCAACUGGCGCCAGAGGAUCGACAAGACCCACGGCCAUGGUGGGCCCGCC
rnacentral:other from 1 species